AUUGAACGCUGGCGGCAGGCCUAACACAUGCCAGUCGAACGGUAACAGGAAGAAGCUUGCUUCUUUGCUGACGAGUGGCGGACGGGUGAGUAAUGUCUGGGAAACUGCCUGAUGGAGGGGGAUAACUACUGGAAACGGUAGCUAAUACCGCAUAACGUCGCAAGACCAAAGAGGGGGACCUUCGGGCCUCUUGCCAUCGGAUGUGCCCAGAUGGGAUUAGCUAGUAGGUGGGGUAACGGCUCACCUAGGCGACGAUCCCUAGCUGGUCUGAGAGGAUGACCAGCCACACUGGAACUGAGACACGGUCCAGACUCCUACGGGAGGCAGCAGUGGGGAAUAUUGCACAAUGGGCGCAAGCCUGAUGCAGCCAUGUCGCGUGUAUGAAGAAGGCCUUCGGGUUGUAAAGUACUUUCAGCGGGGAGGAAGGGAGUAAAGUUAAUACCUUUGCUCAUUGACGUUACCCGCAGAAGAAGCACCGGCUAACUCCGUG
rnacentral:rRNA from 1 species